rfam:Chlamydiales bacterium 38-26 SCNpilot_expt_500_p_scaffold_38, whole genome shotgun sequence.
GCUCGGGUGGUGAAAUGGUAGACACAAGGGACUUAAAAUCCCUCGGGAGCAAUCCUGUUCCGGUUCGAGUCCGGAUCCGAGCA